GCGCGAAAACCUUACAAUGCUGGCAACAGCGAUAAGGGAACCUCGAGUGCCAGGUUACAAAUCUGGCUGUCGAGAUGCCUAAAAAGCAUUUCAUAGCAAGGGCCGGGCAAGACCGGUGCCAGCCGCCGCGGUAACACCGGCGGCUCGAGUGGUAACCGUUAUUAUUGGGUCUAAAGGGUCUGUAGCCGGCCGGAUAAGUCUCUUGAGAAAUCUGGCAGCUUAACUGUCAGGCCUUCAGGAGAUACUGUCUGGCUCGAGGCCGGGAGAGGUGAGAGGUACUUCAGGGGUAGGGGUGAAAUCUUGUAAUCCUUGAAGGACCACCAGUGGCGAAGGCGUCUCACCGGAACGGACCUGACGGCAAGGGACGAAAGCUAGGGGCACGAACCG
rnacentral:rRNA from 1 species